GCCCUUGAGGCGUGGCUUCCGGAGCUAACGCGUUAAGUCGACCGCCUGGGGAGUACGGCCGCAAGGUUAAAACUCAAAUGAAUUGACGGGGGCCCGCACAAGCGGUGGAGCAUGUGGUUUAAUUCGAUGCAACGCGAAGAACCUUACCUGGCCUUGACAUCCACGGAAUUCGGCAGAGAUGCCUUAGUGCCUUCGGGAACCGUGAGACAGGUGCUGCAUGGCUGUCGUCAGCUCGUGUUGUGAAAUGUUGGGUUAAGUCCCGCAACGAGCGCAACCCUUAUCCUUUGUUGCCAGCGAGUAAUGUCGGGAACUCAAAGGAGACUGCCGGUGACAAACCGGAGGAAGGUGGGGAUGACGUCAAGUCAUCAUGGCCCUUACGGCCAGGGCUACACACGUGCUACAAUGGCGCAUACAAAGAGAAGCGAACUCGCGAGAGCAAGCGGACCUCACAAAGUGCGUCGUAGUCCGGAUCGGAGUCUGCAACUCGACUCCGUGAAGUCGGAAUCGCUAGUAAUCGUAGAUCAGAAUGCUACGGUGAAUACGUUCCCGGGCCUU
rnacentral:rRNA from 1 species